rnacentral:rRNA from 1 species
UACGUAUGGUGCAAGCGUUAUCCGGAUUUAUUGGGUUUAAAGGGUGCGCAGGCGGAUUUUUAAGUCAGCGGUCAAAUCGUGGGGCUCAACCCCAUCCAGCCGUUGAAACUGGGGAUCUAGAGUGUGCGAGAGGUAUGCGGAAUGCGUGGUGUAGCGGUGAAAUGCAUAGAUAUCACGCAGAACCCCGAUUGCGAAGGCAGCAUACCGGUGCACAACUGACGCUCAGGCACGAAAGCGUGGGUAUCGAACAGG